rnacentral:miRNA from 1 species
AUGUGUGUGUGUGUGUGUGUAUUUAGCAGUCUGUGUGUGUAUUCAGCAGACUGUGUACUCAGCAGUCUGUGUGUGUAUUCAGCAGUCUGCUAAAUACAGACAGACUGCUAAAUACACAGACAGACUG